CCUACGGGGGGCAGCAGUGGGGAAUAUUGCACAAUGGGCGCAAGCCUGAUGCAGCGACGCCGCGUGAGGGAUGACGGCCUUCGGGUUGUAAACCUCUUUCAGCAGGGAAGAAGCGGAAGUGACGGUACCUGCAGAAGAAGCGCCGGCUAACUACGUGCCAGCAGCCGCGGUAAUACGUAGGGCGCAAGCGUUGUCCGGAAUUAUUGGGCGUAAAGAGCUCGUAGGCGGCUUGUCGCGUCUGCUGUGAAAGCCCGGGGCUUAACUCCGGGUGUGCAGUGGGUACGGGCAGGCUAGAGUGCAGUAGGGGUAACUGGAAUUCCUGGUGUAGCGGUGAAAUGCGCAGAUAUCAGGAGGAACACCGAUGGCGAAGGCAGGUUACUGGGCUGUUACUGACGCUGAGGAGCGAAAGCAUGGGGAGCGAACAGGAUUAGA
rnacentral:rRNA from 1 species